GGCCUUUUGGUGCUUACCACAGACUGUGCUCUUUCACUGACUGAAUAGAGAGAGGAGGCAGAGUAAACCUAUCCUAUAUACACCUCAGUCCAAGCCUGGUCUGUAUUAUGAAUGGGGCAACAUGG
ensembl:snoRNA